UGAGGAAUAUUGGACAAUGGGCGCAAGCCUGAUCCAGCCAUGCCGCGUGCAGGAUGACGGUCCUAUGGAUUGUAAACUGCUUUUGCACAGGAAGAAACAACAUUACGUGUAAUGUCUUGACGGUACUGUGAGAAUAAGGAUCGGCUAACUCCGCGCCAGCAGCCGCGGUAAUACGGAGGAUCCAAGCGUUAUCCGGAAUCAUUGGGUUUAAAAGGGUCCGUAGGCGGUUUAGUAAGUCAGUGGUGAAAGCCCAUCGCUCGACGGUGGAACGGCCAUUGAUACUGCUAGACUUGAAUUAUUAGGAAGUAACUAGAAUAUGUAGUGUAGCGGUGAAAUGCUUAGAGAUUACAUGGAAUACCAAUUGCGAAGGCAGGUUACUACUAAUGGAUUGACGCUGAUGGACGAAAGCGUGGGUAGCGAACAGGAUUAGAUACCCUGGUAGUCCACGCCGUAAACGAUGGAUACUAGCUGUUGGGAGCAAUCUCAGUGGCUAAGCGAAAGUGAUAAGUAUCCCACCUGGGGAGUACGUUCGCAAGAAUGAAACUUAAAUGAAUUGACGGGGAUCA
rnacentral:rRNA from 1 species